CCUACGGGUGGCACCAGUGGGGGAUAUUGCACAAUGGGCGCAAGCCUGAUGCAGCCAUGCCGCGUGUAUGAAGAAGGCCCUAGGGUUGUAAAGUACUUUCAGUCGGGAGGAAGGCGUUGAUGCUAAUAUCAUCAACGAUUGACGUUACCGACAGAAGAAGCACCGGCUAACUCCGUGCCAGCAGCCGCGGUAAUACGGAGGGUGCAAGCGUUAAUCGGAAUUACUGGGCGUAAAGCGCACGCAGGCGGUUGAUUAAGUUAGAUGUGAAAUCCCCGGGCUUAACCUGGGAAUGGCAUCUAAGACUGGUCAGCUAGAGUCUUGUAGAGGGGGGUAGAAUUCCAUGUGUAGCGGUGAAAUGCGUAGAGAUGUGGAGGAACACCAGUGGCGAAGGCGGCCUGCUGGACAUUAACUGACGCUGAGGAGCGAAAGCGUGGGGAGCAAACAGGAUUAGAUACCCGCGUAGUC
rnacentral:rRNA from 1 species